rnacentral:rRNA from 1 species
UACGUAGGGUGCAAGCGUUGUCCGGAAUUAUUGGGCGUAAAGAGCUCGUAGGCGGUUUGUCGCGUCUGCUGUGAAAUCCCGAGGCUCAACCUCGGGCCUGCAGUCGAUACGGGCAAACUAGAGUACUGCAGGGGAGACUGGAAUUCCUGGUGUAGCGGUGAAAUGCGCAGAUAUCAGGAGGAACACCGAUGGCGAAGGCAGGUCACUGGGCCGCAACUGACGCUGAGGAGCGAAAGCAUGGGGAGCAAACAGG